rnacentral:rRNA from 1 species
UACGUAGGGUGCAAGCGUUAUCCGGAAUUAUUGGGCGUAAAGAGCUCGUAGGCGGUUUGUCGCGUCUGCUGUGAAAACUGGAGGCUCAACCUCCAGCCUGCAGUGGGUACGGGCAGACUAGAGUGCGGUAGGGGAGAUUGGAAUUCCUGGUGUAGCGGUGGAAUGCGCAGAUAUCAGGAGGAACACCAAUGGCGAAGGCAGAUCUCUGGGCCGUAACUGACGCUGAGGAGUGAAAGCAUGGGGAGCGAACAGG